rnacentral:sRNA from 1 species
GGACGUGUCCGCGAAGAUGGCGGGCCGGAGCAUGCAAGCGGCAAGAUGUCCUACAGAUGAAUUAUCUUUAACCAAUUGUGCAGUUGUGAAUGAAAAGGAUUUCCAGUCUGGCCAGCAUGUGAUUGUGAGGACCUCUCCCAAUCACAGGUACACAUUUACACUGAAGACACAUCCAUCAGUGGUUCCAGGGAGCAUUGCAUUCAGUUUACCUCAGAGAAAAUGGGCUGGGCUUUCUAUUGGGCAAGAAAUAGAAGGUAGGUAUAUUUUUUAGCCACCUGAUAAAGAUUUUCUAUGUGAUUUUCUCACAGUUAUUGAGAUCUGUACAAUUUUCUAUUACUAGUGGUCAGAUCUUAAACAUUCAUUGUAUCAGAAGACUGGUUACAUCUAUGAGAAUGGGAAGGAAAUAGUUAUGGUACCUCUGUUCCUAUAUCUUUUAUGAAGUGUGUG